UGUCAACCAAUUUAGCUAAUUUACAUUAUUUUUUUUGUUUCUAUUGUUUUCUCUGCUUCCAUAUGUUAUCUGUUACCUGUUUGUUUGAUCCGUAAGGAUUUAUUAUGAAUAACUUUACCUACCCAGGAGCCAGUAGCGUGUUGAAGCCAAUCUUAUCUCAUGGUAAAUGAAAACUUAAUGGCAAAUCACACGCAGAGUAACCUUUCAACAUUUCAACAGAAAACUGUUCGCUUGAUGUUGCUUUAUUUUUGGCUGUUGUACUAAUAUGAGAGGAGUCACUCUUUUUUUUCAUGAAUCUCAAGUUAUUUCAAGUUAUCCCGACAAAAACUCGUUUACCAUUCACAGUUGUUGUUAUACUGUUGUCAACAAAUAACUAUCUGAUCAAGGUAAUUACAAGUGAAAUGCCAAAAUUGUAAGAGGAUAAAAAGCAAAUCAUCCUCGUUAAGGAGUAAUCAAACGAUAGAAGCAGAUUAUAUUAUGAUUGAGAUACCUGCUGUUAAUAGAUUCUGUACUUUUUUGCUUCUUACCUGAAUCAUUUCUAUUGCUGAAAGAAAAGUGGAAAAACAAAAUUUUAAAGAUUUCAACUUGAUAAUGGCUAAUAGCUGAAAGGAAUCAUUCAAUCUUCAUCUAAUUGUAUCAAUUGUGAAAUUGUAAAGAUGACCUCACAAUUGGAUGAUUUAUUUACAUCCACAUGGACUCCAAUUGAAUUCAAAUUAAUCAAAUUUCACUGAUUUUAAGCUUUUUUCAUUAGCGAUUCCAAUUAGGGUUAAUUUUAAAGCAAAAAGACAUAAAUCUAUCUAAAUGUAUUGAUUUACAAUUUGAUUAUUAAUUGUUUAUCUCAUGAUCAUUGACCUGUCAUUCAUCGAUUGUAAAUCUCAAAAUCGUAUUCAAUUGAACUGAAAAAUGUCUGUUUAUCUGCAACAAAAAUACACUCUAACACUUUGGUAAUCAAAA